rnacentral:ncRNA from 1 species
AAUGGUAGAGGCGCAAGGCUCAAGAGUAGCGCGGGCAUUUUGGGAAGCGGUUUCCCGUCCGAGCGAAAGGGUGCUUUGCCGAAGCGGUGCGGCUGCCGACCGGUCUGCAUUGCUGGGGCGUGAGAGAAUAUCUUACGGACUGUCACUUCGGUGGAGAGCUAUCAU